GAUCCUGCCAGUAGUCAUAUGCUUGUCUCAAAGAUUAAGCCAUGCAUGUCUAAGUCCAAGCUGUGUUUACACGGCGAGACCGCGGACGGCUCAUUAAAUCAGUCGUGGUCCAAAUGGGAUAGUCCAAUGUACUUGGAUAACUGUGGUAAUUCCAGAGCUAAUACAUGCAACUGAAACCUCGAUGGGAGCCCUUCUUUCGGUCGCUUGCCGUCCGUUGGUUGGAUCCUUCCUGACAGGUGCUUUUAUUAGACCAAUCCGCUGGUGGCUGAGUUGUUCUAAUGAGACGCGUGCACGGGCUAUCGGCUUCUGUCGUGUGUUCCGCGAGGCGUGUUCUUGAGGGCUCUCAGUCAGACUUGCUUUGUGGUGACUCUGGAUAACCAUUUUUGACAAGCGCACGUACCCCUCUCACGAGCGGGACGGCGCUGCCACUUUCGAGUGUCUGCCUUAUCAGCUGUCAAUCGCUCGCUACACGCGACCGAUGGCUUUGACGGGUAACGGGGAAUCAGGGUUCGAUUCCGGAGAGGCAGCCUGAGAGACGGCUACCACGUCCAAGGACGGCAGCAGGCACGCAAAUUACCCAAUCCCAGCACAUGGGGGAGGUAGUGACGAAAUCUAACGAUGCGGGCGCCCUUCCAGGGCCCCGCAAUCGGAAUGAGCACUUUCUAAACAACCUGUUGAGAACCUACUGAAGGGCAAGUCUGGUGCCAGCAGCCGCG
rnacentral:rRNA from 1 species